rfam:Octopus bimaculoides Scaffold48_contig_633, whole genome shotgun sequence.
GUUCUUCUUUGGCAGUACAUGUACUAAAAUUGAAAUGAUACAGAGAAGAUUAGUUUGGUCUCUGUGCAAGGAUGCGGCACAAAUUCGUGAAGUGUUUCAUACUUUU